UACGGGGGGGGCAAGCGUUGUUCGGAAUUACUGGGCGUAAAGGGCUCGUAGGCGGCCAACUAAGUCAGACGUGAAAUCCCCAGGCUCAACCUGGGAACUGCGUCUGAUACUGGAUGGCUUGAAUUCGGGAGAGGGAUGCAGAAUUCCAGGUGUAGCGGUGAAAUGCGUAGAUAUCUGGAGGAAUACCGGUGGCGAAGGCGGCAUCCUGGACCGACAUUGACGCUGAUGAGCGAAAGCUAGGGGAGCAGACGGG
rnacentral:rRNA from 1 species